GAUGAACGCUAGCGGCAGGCUUAACACAUGCAAGUCGAGGGGUAGAGGCUUUCGGGUCUUGAGACCGGCGCACGGGUGCGUAACGCGUAUGCAAUCUGCCUUGUACUGGGGGAUAGCCCAGAGAAAUUUGGAUUAAUACCCCAUAGUAUUUUCGGUUGGCAUCAACUGAUUAUUAAAGUUUUUCGGUACAAGAUGAGCAUGCGUCCCAUUGGCUAGUUGGUAUGGUAACGGCAUACCAAGGCUACGAUGGGUAGGGGUCCUGAGAGGGAGAUCCCCCACACUGGUACUGAGACACGGACCAGACUCCUACGGGAGGCAGCAGUGAGGAGUAUUGGUCAAUGGUCGCAAGACUGAACCAGCCAUGCCGCGUGCAGGAUGAAGCAUCUAUGGUGUGUAAACUGCUUUUGUACGGGAAGAAACACUGCUACGUGUAGCAGCUUGACGGUACCGUAAGAAUAAGGAUCGGCUAACUCCGUGCCAGCAGCCGCGGUAAAAC
rnacentral:rRNA from 1 species